rnacentral:rRNA from 1 species
CACGUAGGGUGCGAGCGUUUGUCCGGAAUUAUUGGGCGUAAAGAGCUCGUAGGCGGUGUGUCGCGUCGGCCGUGAAAACCUGCAGCUUAACUGUGGCGUGCGGUCGAUACGGGCAUCACUGGAGUUCGGCAGGGGAGACUGGAAUCCUGGUGUAGCGGUGAAAUGCGCAGAUAUCAGGAGGAACACCGGUGGCGAAGGCGGGUCUCGCUGGGCCGAUACUGACGCUGAGGUGCGAAAGCGUGGGGAGCAAACAGG